rnacentral:rRNA from 1 species
GCGUGCUUAACACAUGCAAGUCGAACGAAGCACUUUAUUUGAUUUCUUCGGAAUGAAGAUUUUGUGACUGAGUGGCGGACGGGUGAGUAACGCGUGGGUAACCUGCCUCAUACAGGGGGAUAACAGUUGGAAACGACUGCUAAUACCGCAUAAGCGCACAGGGUCGCAUGACCUGGUGUGAAAAACUCCGGUGGUAUGAGAUGGACCCGCGUCUGAUUAGCCAGUUGGUGGGGUAACGGCCUACCAAAGCAACGAUCAGUAGCCGACCUGAGAGGGUGACCGGCCACAUUGGGACUGAGACACGGCCCAAACUCCUACGGGAGGCAGCAGUGGGGAAUAUUGCACAAUGGGGGAAACCCUGAUGCAGCGACGCCGCGUGAGCGAAGAAGUAUUUCGGUAUGUAAAGCUCUAUCAGCAGGGAAGAAGAAAUGACGGUACCUGACUAAGAAGCACCGGCUAAAUACGUGCCAGCAGCCGCGGUAAUACGUAUGGUGCAAGCGUUAUCCGGAUUUACUGGGUGUAAAGGGAGCGCAGGCGGUACGGCAAGUCUGAUGUGAAAGCCCGGGGCUCAACCCCGGUACUGCAUUGGAAACUGUCGGACUAGAGUGUCGGAGGGGUAAGUGGAAUUCCUAGUGUAGCGGUGAAAUGCGUAGAUAUUAGGAGGAGCACCAGUGGCGAAGGCGGCUUACUGGACGAUUACUGACGCUGAGGCUCGAAAGCGUGGGGAGCAAACAGGAUUAGAUACCCUGGUAGUACUCCCCGUAAACGAUGAAUACUAGGUGUCGGGGAGCAGUGCUGUUCGGUGCCGCAGCAAACGCAAUAAGUAUUCCUCCUGGGGAGGACGUUCGCAAGAAUGAAACUCAAAGGAAGAGACGGGGAGCCGCACAAGCGGUGGAGCAUGUGGUGUAAUUAGAAGCAACGCGAAGAACCUCAUCAAGUCUUGACAUCAUGAUGACAGAACAUCUAAUGUGUUUUCUUUUCGGAGCAUCGGUGACAGGUGGUGCAUGGUUGUCGUCAUCUGGUGUCGUGAGAUGAUGGGGUAAGUAGUGCAACGAGCGCAACCCCUAUUAUUAGUAGCCAGCGGGUAAGCCGGGCACUAUAGGGAGGAUGCCAGGGAUAACAUGGAGGAAGGUGGGGAGGACGUCAAAUCAUCAUGCCCCUUAUGACGUGGGGUACACCCGUGGUACAACGGCGUAAACAAAGGGAAGAGAGCAUGCGAGGGGGAGCAAAUAUCAAAAAUAACGUCUCAGUUCGGAGGGCAGUAUUCAACUAGUCUGCAGGAAGCAGGAAGCGUUAGUAAUCGUGAAUCAGAAUGUCGCGGUGAAUACGUUGCCGGGUGUUGUACACCCCGCCCGUCACCCCAUCGGAGUUGGUAAUGCCCGAAGUCAGCGACCCACCCACAAGGAGGGAGCUGCCGAAGGCAGCAUCGAUAACUGGG